GACGAACGCUGGCGGCGUGCUUAACACAUGCAAGUCGAACGGAAAGGCCCUGCAGUUGUGGGGUGCUCGAGUGGCGAACGGGUGAGUAACACGGGAGUAACCUGCCCUUGACUUUGGGAUAACUUCAGGAAACUGGGGCUAAUACCGGAUAGGAGCUCCUGCUGCAUGGAGGGGGUUGGAAAGUUUCGGCGGUUGGGGAUGGACUCGCGGCUUAUCAGCUUGUUGGUGGGGUGGUGGAUUACCAAGGCUUUGACGGGUAGCCGGCCUGAGAGGGUGACCGGCCACAUUGGGACUGAGAUACGGCACAGACUACUACGGGAGGCAGCAGUGGGGAAUAUUGCACAAUGGGAGGAAGCCUGAUGCAGCAACGCCGCGUGCGGGAUGACGGCCUUCGGGUUGUAACCCGCUUUCGCCUGUGACGAAGCGUGAGUGACGGUAAUGGGUAAAGAAGCACCGGCUAACUACGUG
rnacentral:rRNA from 1 species